UGAAACUAUAAAACCGACCGAGAACGUACGAAACGGUUACAACUCGACUCAUAUAUUUUAAACAAGAUGUUUUACUUAAAUAGGAAAGGACCGAAUAAUUUAAAUUGCCAAACAAGAAUGAGACCGUUUUGGACCACAAAUAAGAUAUUUACUAAAUCGUCGGGACCCUACUUAUCCUCAAAUUUACUUACCGUGAAGCAAAAACAAAAAAAUAUUCUGUCGUUACGAGAGAUAAGACAACAAUAAAAUAGUUACUAACAAUAGAAAAUAAUGACGCAGUGCAGACAAAAGAAAAUAAAUUCAUCUGUAAGUGAAUGUGGGCUAAAUAAGUGGAUAGGACCCUAAACUAAUCCGCGGUCUACCCGAAACCUAAUUUGUUAAGCUAAUAAAGACUACCCGAAUUCGGAACUAGACACAUUCGCUGAAGAUUUACCAACUAGUUACAUUACUUCACAAGUGUAAAUAAUAAAGCAUUUUUGUA